AGGAUGAACGCUAGCGGCAGGCCUAAUACAUGCAAGUCGAACGGUGGUAGCAAUACCAUAGUGGCGCACGGGUGCGUAACGCGUAGCCAACCUACCCACAUCUGGGGGGAUAGCCCGCCGAAAGGCGGAUUAAUACCGCAUAAGACAGCGGAGCGGCAUCGCUUGGUUGUUAAAGAUUUAUUGGAUGUGGAUGGGGCUGCGUGCCAUUAGCUAGUUGGGGGGGUAACGGCCCACCAAGGCGACGAUGGCUA
rnacentral:rRNA from 1 species